rnacentral:rRNA from 1 species
UACAGAGGGCGCGAGCGUUGUCCGGAAUCACUGGGCGUAAAGGGCGCGUAGGUGGCGGCAUAAGGCCGUGGUGAAAGUCUGGGGCUCAACCCCAGAUCGGCCAUGGCGACUGUGUCGCUAGGGUACUGUAGAGGCAGGUGGAAUUCCUGGUGUAGCGGUGGAAUGCGCAGAUAUCAGGAGGAACACCGGUGGCGAAGGCGGGAUCCUGGGCCAGUACUGACGCUGAGGAGCGAAAGCGUGGGGAGCAAACAGG